CGCUGAAGAUUUGACUAUCGCAUAAAACACUUGCGAAUACAGCAGCGUUUCCAUCCCAAGGGUCGUCACUUCAUGGGAAACUGGCGUAGAGUAUCAAUAAUAAAAAUUAAAGUUAAUGGAACCUGGCUAUAUCACACAAAGCAUAAUAUCCAGGACCUUGGUUGGUUUACAGCAAGUUACUUCUUCCAGGUUUUUUUGCCAGACAAAGAGAGACGAGCUGUGUCUGAAAUAACACACUGCCAGAGUAGGCACUACGUGUGACAAAGAAUGAACUUCGUGACCAUUCAAAGUGUCAUCUGGGUACUUUUUGUCUACUGUUUUUUGAAUAAUAUGUGUUCAGAUAUACUACUCUUCUGGAGUACUGUUUGUAACAUACUGUGUAGUAGAAAAGUGGACAUACUCAGAUGCAGUGAGUGGAACAGGAUGUGAACACAACAAAAACCCAGGUCCCCUCAACAGCACAAUGUAUCUAAUGACAAUUGUCAAUUUCAUUGCAUUAAAAUGUCAGAAUGGCCCUACAGAAGCAUCACUUCCCAAAUAGUGGUAAUCAUUGACUUGUUUAGUCACUACAUUUACCUAGCAGAGCUUUGGUUUAUGAUUAUUGGACACUUGGACACCAAAUAAUCUUGGUCACGAUGACAUAUUGUGUAUUUUUCCAUUCAUCAAUCUAAAUAAUCUAUAAAAACUAAGCGGUAGACUGUCUUUAGAGAUGUGAAUUGCUCUUUGGUGACGGUCAUCAUUAUAGCCAGUUUUUGAACUUGUUUACUGAUAGCUUUUCAUAGCCAAACCUUAAAUGAAAAGGUAUAGUUUUAAAGCAGAGAAAGCCUUUGAAUACAUUUUCAUCACCAGCUAAAACUUUGGUGAUUUGCAUGAUGAUUUUUUUAUUGCAACUUUAAUAAUACCAAAUAGUGAAUGCUCCAAUGUUCUAAAAUAUUAAACAUCUUAAUAUAAACUAAAAUAUUUGAUAUAAAAUGAACAUUUUGAGUAGAAUUUAAUGUCAAAAUGACAUUUCAGAUUUUAGUAGUUCUGUAUAGGUUCUGCAUUUUCUUCCAUUUUUGGAAACAAGUUUUUGUUCAACUGUUGAUGAAUUAGCAUUACAAAUAAAGUGACCAUGUCAUUGACAUUUACAAAAUCACCCUGUUAUCAACAAGCUCAAGGCUGGGUGUGCCUUAUACGCAUAUUUUCCUCUUUUGCAAUAUGAAUUAUUUUUGCAAUGAAGAUUACUGUCAGUAUUACCACAAUGAGAUAAAAAUUUAUUCUAGUACAAGUAGUAAGUAUACUGAAUAGUUUUUAAAAUCAUAUUUUUUAUGCCCGAACUUUGUGGCUUAUACAUGUCAUAUGCUGGGGGUCUUCUUAUUUGAAUUAAAAAUUUUUAGCAACAGUAGUGAGAAAUGAAACAGCUUUAACUGUUUUAUAAAUGUAUAAACAUGUGCUGGCAGUGAUGGCAAUGUAAUUGCCAGCUGAAUUACUUUAUCUUGGUGGCAUAUUUUAAACAGCAGAAUAAAAAUGCAUGUACAUGAUCAACACAUGUAAGAUGUAGUGUCAAUGCAGAUUACAAAUAACAAAAGGCAAACAUUUGUAUCAGUUGGUCCAGUACCCUCUCUUUGACCCUGGAUCAAAAAAAGAGAUCAAAAUUAGAUCAAAUAAAGAGUUAGAACUACACUAGAUAAGUCAGUAUAUCAUUGUGUUCUUCCGGCAUGAGGUGUAAAAGUAACUAGUAAAAGUUAGAGUUGGGCAAUAACGUGCUGGUCUGCUUUUCAUAUAUAAAGCACACAAGCUCAUGAGCUUCAGUGUGCUCCUGUGAGAUUGCUUUCACACACACAGUAAUGGGGCGGAAAGAGAAUCUCCUGAUUUGCUCUUUCUUUGCAUCAGUUUACCUGCUGACACAGACUGAAUGUGUCCCUGUGGAUGCAGCCUCAGCUAGGAGUGAUGAAAAAGAUGCUCAAGUUUUGGCUUUCUGGGAUUUCACAAGAGAAAGAAGAGCCAUAGAGGUGUGUU